rnacentral:rRNA from 1 species
UACGAAGGGAGCUAGCGUUGCUCGGAUUGACUGGGCGUAAAGGGCGCGUAGGCGGUUCGUACAGUCAGACGUGAAAUUCCUGGGCUCAACCUGGGGGCUGCGUUUGAUACGUGCGGACUUGAGUGCGGAAGAGGGUCGUGGAAUUCCCAGUGUAGAGGUGAAAUUCGUAGAUAUUGGGAAGAACACCGGUGGCGAAGGCAGGUUACUGGUACGCAACUGACGCUGAGGCACGAAAGCGUGGGGAGCAAACAGG